GAAUAAAGAAAUACUGAACUGAAGUAACUAACUCAAUGAAUUGAACUGAACAGAAACGAACAAAACUAAUACAAUAAAAUAAUAGGCUGAAACAAAUGGCUGGGGUUAUUUCAUACCGAGUGAGCUCAAAAAUAUAUCUUGCCACACAGGCAAGUCAAACUAAUGUCACACAUGCAAGUCAAAAUAAUGCCACACAGGCAAAU
rnacentral:lncRNA from 1 species